GGGAAUUAGCCAAGUUGGCACAGCACUUAAAAUGCUGCGGAAUGAUUUCCUUGUGGGUUCGAGUCCCACUUCUCGCACCA
rnacentral:tRNA from 1 species